GCGCUUGUAGCUCAAUUGGAUAGAGCGUCUGACUACGGAUCAGGAGGUUGGGGGUUCGAUUCCCUCCAAGCGCG
rnacentral:tRNA from 1 species